AUUACUGUAUGUUUUAUGUCUCAGGAUUAGACCCUGAUGGAUAUAAAAUUGGUUCUAGGAAUAGUUCCAACAGAUAGGCCAGAAAAGAUGGGAUUUGGGUAUUUAUUUGGUCAUGUCCUCAGACUUGAGUGCAGUAGUGAGCUCUUUGCCAAGGGAAAUGGAAUGUUAAGUAAAAUGCAGCAUGCAGUGAAAUCAUAACUAGUUAAAUUAACACCUAUGGUUGACUGGGAUGGAGUGCCCAUUAAAACAAGUGCCUUGGGAGCUCAGCUGGCUGCUACAUUUGACCAUAAUGGCAGCAACGAUGACUACAAGGACUGUGGUGCAGGAUGGAUAUUUUUAAGUGUGCUUGAGUGCUUACAGAAAGAAAACAACAAACUCAGAUUCUUUAAGCCCCAGUUCAAGUUAAAAUCUGAGAACUAGAAAGCCUUCAUGAUAUAAUCCUUGAAGCCAUGGUACUAACAGUAAUGAAAGACAAACAAAAUUUAGUUGUUCAUGUUACUUAAUUACAACAAGAAUUCAUAGUCUCACCAAGUGUCUCAUGAAAGUCAGGGCAUCUAAUGAGAAAGAUGGGACAUGGAACUUGGAAUAGGGAUAUCUGCUUGGACCCAGAUGAAACUGACAAUCCUGAACUCCCAAGUCCCUUCAGCCACCCUUAUCAGUGGAAGUAGCUUGCCCUCUGGUGUUUGAGAAAACUAGCCUUUCUUUGCUUAAAAUCAUGUGCUAACUUCACUUGAGGCAGAUGUCUUGGAAAGGGAUCCUCAUUCUCUUCAAGACCCACCACAGACCCCCUCAUUGUCAUUAGACCCACAACUGGGGUUAAAUCUCAGCAUGUUCCAGGGGCACAGAUCCACACUGUGACCCAUGAAGAAAUAGUUUACACACCAAAAUAAUUACAAUAAUGUUCAAUAAUAUAUGGGAAUGUAUUAAAAAACAUGUGUGGGUAUGCAUUAUAAGGAUGUUUGACCAGGAGGAUGGAAUACCCCACUAAAACAGGUUAAAUUCAUUGAUAUGACUGAAUUUGCUAAAGAUUCCAGAUUUAUAAUGUGUCUUUUUGUGCUGAAAGUAGGUAUAACACCUUGCUUCAUUGGUUAACUGAAAUAUGGGAUCAGCAGUGCCCUACAGUUGAUAAUAUUGAGAUGCCAGAGCUGCCCCAGUGUGAUGUAGAAGAGGGAAUUCAAACACUUAGGGAGAUAGGAAUGUUAAGUACCAUUUAUCAUGCAUACCCACUCCCAACUAUAUUCCACAAGAAGGCCAAGGGAGCACUUUCUUCACUAACAAUGAGAAAUAAAUUAGUAAGGGGAGCAUCCACAUCAUUGAAAAGCUGUAUGGUUUUUCUGUCCUGUAGGCUAGGUAUGACUGUGUGGAUGCCAUCAUUGAGAUGAGUUCCUUGAUUUCAAUAGGGAUGAUGAGAUCCUGGGGUAGCAACUGCCAAAGACGAAUUGGGUCCAUCUUCCUUAAAGGCCAGCAGUCUUGAGAAUUCUGGUCAGUUUUAAACACAUUGGUGCACAGUCCCUUUCUUUUAACUUUUUAGGGCAGCCAGAGGGUUCUUAGCCUGCUCCUCAAAUGUUAUAUGAUUUUAGCCAUCACUCUUCUUUCUGUGCUACAGUGAGCAUCUCUAUUAGAGGGGACAUCCUGGACUGAGGUUAGCAGAGUAGUUUGUGGUAGGAAGAAAUGCUCCCCGCACCAAUCACUGUAGUCAGUAUCCCUUGGAUGACAAUGGCUCAGAGGUGACAGCAGAAAAUUUGUGAUCAGAGGAGAUGGGACUUGAAGGCCAAAGCAGUUUUCAUAAACCACUUACUGGGGAUGAAGAUGUCAGGCCAGGCUUGUUAAGCAAAACCAGAGGUUUCUGAUCAGAAGCAAGAGGAUUAACCAAAUCUAACACCCACACAGACAACAAAGAUCAGAGACAGCUGAGUCAGAUGUCAGACAAACAGACA
rnacentral:lncRNA from 1 species